GAUGCAGAAUGUAGUCAAUGGGCUUCUCAGCCUAUAAAACACUAUACAACUUUCAGCAACGGAUCUCUUGGCUCUCGCAUCGAUGAAGAACGCAGCGAAAUGCGAUAAGUAAUGUGAAUUGCAGAAUUCAGUGAAUCAUCGAAUCUUUGAACGCACCUUGCGCUCCUUGGUAUUCCGAGGAGCAUGCCUGUU
rnacentral:rRNA from 1 species